UAUAAACAUAUAAUUGCUUAUUAUAAAGUUAGAAGCUUUAUUUAAAAUAUUUCUUU
rnacentral:tRNA from 1 species